AGGGUUGUAGUUAACCAUAACAUUUGAAUUGCAAUCAAAAAGUACCUUUACGUGUCUUCCUUA
rnacentral:tRNA from 1 species